rnacentral:rRNA from 1 species
GCGCAAGCCUGAUCUAGCGAUGCCGCGUGAGUGACGAAGGUCUUAGGAUCGUAAAGCUCUUUCGCCAGGGAUGAUAAUGACAGUACCUGGUAAAGAAACCCCGGCUAACUCCGUGCCAGCAGCCGCGGUAAUACGAC